GCCAGGCGUGGUGGCUCAUGCCUGAAAUCCCAGUGGCUCAGGAGGCUGAGGCAAGAGGAUCACAAGUUCAAAGCCAGCCUCAGCAAUGACCAGGCAGUAAGCAACUCAGUGAGACCCUGUCUCUA
rnacentral:sRNA from 1 species